GUCAAGAUGGCGAGAAUGAAGUCAAGUACGGGUUAAGUCGUUUUCAGUGUGGUGUUUACAAAACAAACAUGUCGCAUUACAGAAUCCUUUCCGUACUUUUAAGUCAGCUAUACUGUAACUUGGUUGCCAUGGCAGAGGAGGAUGGGUUAAUAAUGUUGGCUUUGAUCAAUGAUUACUGCCAGGAAAGGUAUUUCAAUCAUGUAAGUGCUGUUAACAAGGCUCUGAAGAAGAAUGCAAAUGACCCUGUCUUCAUAUUUUUUCGUGCUUAUGGAAUUUUAAUGGAAGACAGAAUUCAAGAAGCCAUUUGAGAACUGGAAGCUGUUAAAGGCAAUCAAGAGGUGUCUCUCUUCACCUUAAUGGCUCUUACUUAUGCCCAUAAGAAAAGUUCCACUCCAGGCCCAGUAUUACGAGUUUUGCCAGAACUACUCCAGAGCUUUAGAAACUGUCACUCAAGUCCUUGCUGCCUUCCCCGACUUUCUACCUGCUUUCAUAAAGAAAAUGAAGCUGUUUCUAACCUUGCGACUGGGAACAAACAGUCGAAGCAGCGCAGAGGUACUGAGUGAAGCAGGUGUAAUUGCCUUUCCACUCUAUUCAGGUUAUUUUUAGAUUUAUGUGGGUGGUAGUCUUUCACUGUGCAGUAGCGUUUGCUUUAAACUUACAGAUUUGCUGUCAGAGCUACAUUAUUUAAUUUUGGUCACCAUUAAAGUCUAAAUCAGUGGUUCUCAAACAACAUUUUUUGCUGGCCUCAUAGUGAAGCCACCAACAUUACUAGUGGCCGCACUGGUAAUUUUUCCUAAAAACAUUAAGUACAUCAUAUUAAAAAAUAAAGAAAAUAUCUGCUCUGACAACAGGUCAAACUUAAUCAAUCAUCUACACUGUAUUAUUAUGUGUAUACUGUUAUUUAAAUCUGUUAUUUAAAUGGUCUGAUUGUGGCAGUUGUAUGUGUGACAUGCUAUAUAAAUGUACUGUGGUUUGUUCUUUUUCUCUGCUAUGUACUGUACAGUGCUUUGCGAUACUUUUGUAUAAAAAUCGCUAUAUACAUGUAAUAAAAAUAAUAAUAAUAAUAAUAAUAAUAAUAAUAAUAAUAAUAAUAAUAAUAAGUUAAUACAAUACCGAAGCUAAAGUACAUUACUAACGUAUUGAAGUUAAAUAAAUACCAAAACUACUUUCAGUUUCUGUUCCAAUAUAAUGCUGCACAAUUCCCAGCUAAAUCUAACAAAGGUAUAACAAUUUGCAAUGCUGUUGUAUCAUAAAGUGAUAUGUAAAACUGUAGCAUUCCAGAAUUAUAGCUUGUGAAGGCUUAACUAUAAAGCGGAGGUUGUCAAACAGUAGUUAAAGUUGUUCUAAUCUUUUCUUGUGUGUAUUUCAGGCAGAAACAGUAAAACAUUUUUUUUUAUUAUUAAUAUCUCUUCCAUUGUAGUUUCUGCACAAUAAACAAAGUAAAAAAGACAAAUCUUCAUAAAGUAAUAGCAUUACUGAUGUUUACUUAUGCCUUUGUAGCUGAACAUACAAGUGAACACUCAAAUUGAACUUAAAUAAACUCUUCAAAAAAUAAAUGUGUAAAAGGGACCAUUUUACAAAGAAAAACAAACUCACCAUUUUGGUUUUCGUUUAUUACUCUCCUCAUAACAGAAAAUAGAAAGUUGGGCCAGUGUUUGGAAAGCGUGAAGCAUUUUCGAAUAACGUUGUGGACACUAAAAGCAAGAGUUUAUAUAUAUAUAUUUUCAGUUUUCUCCUGAUUCUUUCUAUUGUAUUUUAUUCUAACAAACGGAGAUGAAAUGUUAUGGUCGGUGCCCUUUUAUAACCAUCCCAUUUGCAAUCGCUGUGCUCCCUGUUGGUUUCUUUCUGCCCAGGACCAUUACAUUUACUCAUGCAGUCAAGUCUUUCUUUCAAAGGCUCCUAAAGCUACUGUGAACUGGAACAAAUCUGCCAUUCUGAGCUCUGUGAGGUCGCAGAGGUUCAGGUGUGAUGAAAAGAAAGGCCAGACUGUUGCUAUUGGUGUGAGCUGGAUCAUUCAGAAAAAAAAAAAAAUGUUGGCACAUUAUUAUUAAGCCUGAACUCUAACCUUGUAUACAAAAUUAUACAAAAAUUGGCAUAUUAAGUAAAAGUAAUGUAUUUAAAAUGAAUAGUAGAUUAUAAAAUUGAGAUAUCAAGUAGUUUUGGAGUUUAUAUGUAUAGGGACAGGGCAACACCCUUCUGAGACCUGCUUGCAAAAGAUCACUGUUCCUAAAUAAAUACUUUGUAUGUAUAGCUGAACAAACUAGCAUUGCUAAGGAUGAACACAGCGGACAUAUAUAGGAGAAAUCAACACAAUACCCUUGAUCAGUUAAUAUUUGAUUUAAAUGUAUGUACAGUAUUUCUUUAUUUGCAGUCCUUUCCCCAGGUAAGUAACCUUGUUGGCAGCCUGGACUGCUUUGAACCUCACAAGGAUGAGCUUUUCUAUACAAUGUCCUUAGCUUUUACAAGAGUGGUAAGUGUUAAAUAAAGUGGUUCAUUUUAAUCCUUACAGUAAUUGAAUAUUUAGAAUGUCAUUGUGAACCAAGACGUAAUAGUUUAUCAGGAUUUUAAAAAAUCCUCUGAUUCAAUUUUUUCUUUGAUCUAGAAGUUUUUAAGAUAUGUGGUUUAAGUGUGAAAGAAAACGUAAUUUAAAAUGGGAGUUUUACUUAUAGCUCCACCUGUUGGCAGAUAUUGUAAUUGUAUUACAGUAGAAACCUCUUUAUAGAAUAACUUGUUUUUUCCCCUUGGUAUUAAGUCUAAAUCUCAUGAUUAUGAAGGCAUAUACACAUUUUCAAACAUACAUACAUGUAAGUUUGUUUCUCUGAGUUUGUAAGUUUCUUUUAGUAUUUCUGAAUUUAGCACUGUGGUGAUUAAUAGUUAUGGGGGAUGGAAUUAUGGUUAAGUUUUUCUUUGUAUUCAUCCUGCUUAUUUUAAAUAGUUUCAAUUACAAGGUUUUUUAACAGAAUCGCGCAUAUAGCGUAAUUGCAUUUUAACCCUUGUUUUGCAAUGGAUUGACAUUUUGGAUUCAUGUUUUUCAUUUAUAAAGGUAAUUUCUAAUAAAACAUUUUGUUAGCACAGUAUUAAUGACAGCUAUUUGUUGCUCAUAUUCAAUUUUUUUGCAGCAGCUUAAUUUCGUUAAUGGCCUUCAAGGUCCAUUUUUGCUGCAAUAAAUGUUUCUGCUUUUUCUUUUAAGGUACAGCACAUGUAUGAAUAAUAUAUUUCACAACACAUUCAUUUUGCAGAUUUUUAAUAAACGUGAAAUUAGCAAACAUUUCUUGCUUGCAAAAUGUUCUUGUUUUACAGUAGUUUAAUAAAUUAUAUAGGGCUCAGCACCCAAAUACUGUACCUGCUGUGUAGUAUUAAAUAAUACAGUGACUGAGGAGGAGUUUAGUUCAGAAUUUUGUUGUACAGCUACCGUUGCUGGAGAGGCAUUCGUCUAUCAGUUAAUAGAUAAUGGCUGAUGGCAAUGAAAGUUUUAAUUUUGCAAGUUGCAAUGCUCACAGGGAUCAUAAGGUGCCAACUAAUUGAAGGGCACCUGGAAGAAGCAGAGCAACAGCUUGAAUUCCUUAAUGAAAUCCAGCAAUCUAUUGGAAAGUCAGGGGUAAGGUUAUAUAUAGGAAAAGAAAGGAACAAAUACUGUAUGACUGAAAGCCACUAUAAUACUGUAACUCACUCAUCUAGUAGUCAGCCUACCAAGAGUUCAUAUUAUUAUUUACAAGCAAGGCUAAUUUUGUAGAUAGUUCUAGUACUAUUUAAGACUUACGAAGAUUUAUCUGUGUGGUCCAGUGGUUAAAGAAAAGGGCUUGUAACCAGGAGGUCCCCAGUUCAAAUCCCACCUCAGCCACUGACUCAUUGUGUGACCCUGAGCAAGUCACUUAACCUCCUUGUGCUCCAUCUUUUAGGUGAGACGUAGUUGUAAGUGACACACCCUAGUCUCCGUAAGUCGCCUUGGAUAAAGGCAUCUGCUAAAUAAACAAAUAAUAAUAAUAAUAAUAAUAAUAAUAAUAAUGUCAUAAAAAAUAAACUAAUUAAAGCAGAACAUUUAAUACUGUACCAAUAUAUUUUGUCAUGUAGUAAAUUCAUUUCUAAAUGUUUAAUUGGAAAAGUUUCUCCUCCAGAAAAAAUAACAGGAAAUCAUUUGCCCUACCACUGUUUUAGACUGCUCAUCAAGGUCAAACAAAAUGUGACCUCAGUAAGUAAAAUGAAACCUUACAUAACCCAAGACUGACAGUUCGUCCUUCUUGCAAGUAAUACAAGAAAAGAAAAAAAAAAGAUACUGCAUGCUAAAUAGAAAAACGCACUGAAUUAGUUUCCAGGCUGCUAUCUUUUAUUUGUUUUCUGACGUUUACCAACCCAUGUAUCUGCAUCAGGACAUUACAGUUUCCCAAGAGGAUGUUAGCAUUAGAGUUAGGAUUCCUUUUUAAAAAAUAAACAAAACACACCUUUUUGCUGAAGGUGAACAAACAAGUUUCUUAGACUAAUCUUACAGGGUUUUGUUUUAAGACUUUUCAUCUCACUUUUCCUUGUCUAUUGUAUCUGACAGCAGCUGAAGUAAUGUAGGAUGCAAUCAAUGAAUUUUCAGGCACCCCUGAAGAGCUGAAGGGACACUGAACUGGCCCUGAGCAUGCUUAGAAACAUCACACCUGAGCAGCCUUACUACAUUCAAGCCAAAGAAAAAAUGGCAGGCAUUUAUCCCAAGUACAGAAAGGAGAAGAGGUUGUAUGCAAGCUGUUACAGGUAAGAAAAUGGCUAGAGUUUCAGCAGUGAAUGAACUAAUGGAAUAGAAAUGUUGUGCUUUAGUACAAGCUGUGUGUAUGUCUCAGAAGAUUGUGAUUUUACAUCAAAGUGGAAGUUUGAACUUCAACGGGAGGUGGGAGCAAAUAAAUAAUUCCUGUUUGUAUAGAUAUAUUUUUAUAAUUGCAAUAAUUUAAUCGAAUUAUGUUUUACAGAGAAUUGGUGGAAAAACUGCCUAACUCCCACACAUAUCUCCUGUUAGGUGAUGCUUAUAUUAAUAUUCAAGAGGUAGGCUAAGUUGUAGAAUUCAAGUCUUUGGCUAAAAACAUGACGCAUAGCAAAUAUGUUACUGUAUGAAUCAGCAUUGUUGCAUUUUCUUUUUUUUUAAUAGAAUGUUUCUGUUUCAUGUAUGAUUAAAUAGUAAUUAUGUGGGGUGCCAUCUUGUGGUUUAAAAAUGAAAGGCAAAACCCUCAAUCAGCCCUUGCAAACCUGUACUUACAGUAUGGCCAGAUUAUAAUUACUAUGUUUAAGGGUAUUAUAGUUUUUUAUUGUUGCAAAUAGCAUUCGUUUCCCUGUACCACCUUUCCAGAACUUGUGGGUCUGGAAUAUAAAAAGGGGUGCAAAGCCCCUUCCAACCAUUGUUUUGUCUUCAUUAUUUCAUACUGCACACAUAACUGCCUAAAAGCAACAUGCAGAUAGAGGUACAAUGUAGGUACAGUAGAAAAGAAAAGUUUCAACUUAUUAAUGAAGAAAAUGAAACGUAGUUAUUAUCUUUAAAUUUGUCCCUCGGUGGAUUACCAUAAUAUCUAUUGUUUUGUUUUUGCAGCCGAAGAAAGCAAUUGAGACAUAUGAAUACGCUUUAAAGAAAAGAAAAAAACCCAAAUGGUGCUUUGGGGAGCAUGAUUAGUAAAGCUUUUGUUAAAACUCAUAACUAUACUAAGGUAUGCUAUAUCAACAUAUUUUGUAUUUUGUGAAUAUAGAUAGAUAGAGUAGAUUAGGUGUUUAUAUACAGUCGCAAACAAAAGUAUUGGCACCCUAUACUUAACAAUAUAUGAUAAUUCAAGAAAGCAUGUUAACAAGCAUUUAGUGAACAUUAGCCACUAAUUAAUAUGACAAAGACCAAAAUACACAAUUGUGGGUAGUUUAACCAACAAUCUUUAUAAAAAACAAAUGUACUUAAGCAAUUUCAGAUAUAAAUAAAGCAAUCAUGACAAACAUUUCAACAAAUAUUUAUGUGGGAAAUCCUCUGUCCUAUGACAGCCCACAUCCUGCUUGUGACAGUGGAAACAUUUCAUUUGACAUGCAAUAUUGAUGAAAGUUGUAUUUUUAUACUUUACUAAAGCAAAAUAUGUUUUAUUCAUUAGGCAGUUAAUUAUUAUGAAGCAGCACUGAAGACUGGUUAGCAAAAUGAUCUCCUUCAUGACUUGGCAGAGCUAAAACUAAAGCAAUAUGGAGUAGUGUGGAGUAGUGGUUAGGGCUCUGGACUCUUGACCGGAGGGUUGUGGGUUCAAUCCCCAGUGGGGGACACUGCUGUUGUACCCUUGAGCAAGGUACUUUACCUAGAUUGCUCUAGUAAAAACCCAACUGUAUAAAUGGGUAAUUGUAUGUGAAAUAAUGUAUAAUGUGAUAUCUUGUAACAAUUGUAAGUCGCCCUGGAUAAGGGCGUCUGCUAAGAAAUAAAUAAUAAUAUAAAAAGAAGAAACAAUUCUACAGCAAGCUCUAGACCAUGAACCAGGUAGGUAUUUAUCUUGGCAAGACUUGAGUUGAUAAUGAUCAUGGCUGCUGUUAAAAAUAAUAAUAAUAAUAAAACUGUAGUUAAGUCAUCAAUUGCCAUGUUACUCCAGCAGGGUUUUUCAACAUUAAACUGAAACUUGCUUCCUGUCUCUCCCACUCUUUGGUGAUAAACUAUCCACAGUGGGACUGCUUAUUUCAUACAUUUAUAAAGUAAUUCACUUACCAGCCACCAUUAGUUAUUUCAGUGGACCCACAUAAUUUAUUUAGCACCUUUAUAUUUUCUGCACUUACAUACCAUCACAGACAUAUAUACCCCUAUACAGUGUUGCAAUAUUUGUAUACAAAACUGUGUUGGCAAUGCAGUGAGAUCACAAAAGAUGUGAAACAUGGCAUUGUGUUGGAGUGCAAUAGCUGCUGCUUUCUGUAUUUUUCAUGACUUUUUACUUUAUUAUUUUUUAGUAAAAGACCUCUCUGUAUUAACUGUAGAUGGUCGCUAUCUAGUUCUUUUAGCCAAGAUCCAAAGCAAAAUGGAAAAAACUGAACAGGCUAUACUUUCCUUACAGAGGGUAUGUAUUACUAAAUGUAAUGUAUGUUAAGCAAAAGGGUAGUACAGACAUAAAAUAACUUUUGUUUCUAAUUACACACCAAAGUACAGUGUAUCAGCUGGUUUCACAGAUCCUGAUUAGCACUAACCCUGGACAACACUACCUUAUCAAUGGCUGGUUUCACUAGUCGUGUAUUAUUUUACCUAAAAUAAAAUGAGGUAAUCCAAUAUUAAAGCUAAUCAUGGUCUGUCAAAGCCACCCUGCUAAAGUGACAUUUAGUUAAACUAGUCCUUCAUGUAUGUGUGUGUGUAUAGAUAGAUAGAUAGAUAGAUAGAUAGAUAGAUAGAUAGAUAGAUAGAUAGAUAGAUAGAUAUACAGUACAUACAGGCUAACUUCACUAUAACAAACCCACAUGGAACCUGAAAAAAUGUUUCUUAUAUCAAGGUGUUCACUAUAAUAGGGUUUGGCGUUUUUCUGUAUCAGAAUAAUGACAAAACAGCAAAUUUGAAGUGAACAUCGACAUAUAGUAAUUUUAUGAAGAUUCCUUCACAUUGAUCAACAUUUAAAUGGUAUUGUGACAAGGUGCUCGUGUCACAUGUGUGGGUAACAGCAUUGCAAGACAGAGAGACAUGGGAGUUGGAGUUGAAACGCCGGCACAGGCGCACAGGAUUUAUCAACCACAAAACAGAAAGUAAACAAACGGGUCAUGUGACGCUACCAGCGAUGGUAACGCACAGAGGACACAUACAGAAGACUGUACAAAAGGCAAAAUAAAACACAGUACAAAAACUACAAAUAAAAGGUGCCACACAGGGCGAGCACUAGCCUUAUUGAACGAGGCGUCCCGCUCCAGGAACCAUUACUUGGGAUCAAUAUCGCCUAAACUAACCUACUCAUGAGCCGGUAUUCUUACGAUGACUCCUGCUCCGUUAUACGGCCUUGGCUGGGCACUGCCUUCACAAGUACCAUGUUGCAGUCUGUAAACAAUCAUUUGAUCAAAAAUAACAACUCCAAAAAGCACACAAAACCGUUUCCCCGUGCAGGGCAACCACCCUGCUACAGUAUGUUUAAAAGAAAACAGUAAAGAAAUUAAAAAGGAAAAAAUGUACAUUUACAUGCUAAAUACAGUAAUUACAUGUCCUUUCUCUUGAAAAACCUAUCUCGCGUAGAUUGCUUCUCAUGCCCGUUGCCUGUUUGCAGUUUGUGUGAAGAUGACGGACAGGCAACGAUUGCAUUCGUCAUGCACGAUUCGUACAACAAUACCUCAUGGUGUUUGUUUUCACUGAGAGAAUAACACACUUGACACUGGAGAAAGUUCAGUAUGUACAAACCUGCGUUUACUCUUGGAAACCUGUACUUGGGUUAUUGUUGCUACAUUAUCUUUUGGGUAGUAUGUGUAUUAGUGUAGCAUUAAUUUCCCAACAUUUCAACAGAAGUUCACUGAAUUGGAUACCACAGAAAACCUACAGUAGCACAAAAAGUAUUUAAUUGCCUUAAAUGUUCUUUUUACAAUUUUAAAAUACUGUGUUAAAAAAAACCCGCACACAGAAAUUAAGUCUGUAUGUAACAUAUUGCAGGUUUAACUGCGACCGUGUGCUCCUCCAUGAUUCACAGCCACGUUUGCUUUACAGGCAUGAGAUGUUCAAGGUCGUGUUUUGAAACUGGUUCAGCUUGAGCAACCUGAAGCAGUUCCCAACCAGAAACAAUUGGCAGCAGAGAUUUGUGCUGAGUUUACCAAACAUUACACAUCUCAAAGAGACUAUGAAAAAGCCAUCAAAUUCUACAAAGAGGCGCUUGUUUAUUGUGAGACUGAUAAAAAGGUGAUGUUGGAGCUUGCUUGAUUAUACCUUGCAUGGGAUGACAUAGAUGCAUCUCCGCAUCAGUGUGCAAUACUUCUUAAGAAUGAAGCUGCAACCAUGGUCGGUUACUAGGUUCAGGUUCCAGUAAUAUGUUUCAAGCAAUUAUUUGUAAAUACAGAUGUUGGUACACACUGUUAUGUAUUGAUAACAACCUGUUGGAUUAUGCUGAGAUAAACUAGCUCUUCUGAUGCGUGAGGAAAAGACGGCUAACUUAAGCCACAUAGAAAACAAAUGCAAAUAAUCAAAAAUACAUCCAAACUGUGUGUGUCCUGAGGUAACAGGAAUCCGUGUCCCAUAUCAGAUCACUGGAUGUUUUAAAAUGGGUAUUUUUGGCAUUGCUCAUUAUAUCAAAUUUGAAUCAAUUUUAAUAACUAUCAUUUGUUUUUGUUUUUUGUUUUAAAAAAGGCUUAUACAGAUCAUUAAAUUACACCUAUCCUGUUUUUUUUUUCUUCAGAUGAUGGCUGAUCUGAUGUUCAGGAAGCAGGAUUAAGAGCAAACGGUUCCAAAAAACGAUUUUUGGCGAGUAAAUUGCAAUGGUGGAAAAAAUAUUAGCCACAGAGCCCUCUUUUCCGUAUUUCUUUCUAGUCAAUGCUGGCCCGUAGUGAAAGUUGUGGAAAUGUGGGGCAUGUGGCAACUGUGUCUACCAAAGUUCAGUCCUUUGUGACCAAUAGCUUUUCUCCACCAUUGCUGUUGAGUCCCCAGCUGAUUGAAUAACUACCUUGUACAUUACUGACCCACAUGAUUGGUGACUUGGAAAUCAUUUAUGUCACACAUUUUGUUGCUAGACAACUAUCCAACACUGUCACGUUCAAUUGACCUAUUAAGAAGAACUGGUAAGUUGGAAGAGGUUUCCAGUAUUCCUAGAGGUGGUUGAAAGCAUUCUUCAAGGGCAAAACUGGAGCCUGGAUUUAACUACUGCAAAGGAAGUUAACUCUGGUAUGUGGUGUCAUAAUUACAAACGUACAAAGUAAAUUGUUAUAACCCAAACUUAAAGGCAUUACUUAAUUGUAUUACUGUAUGUGUAAUACUCUUAAUACACUCCUCCCUCCUCCACAGUUACACUGGUGAACCCAAUGACGGCCUUAGAUCCUUCAAUAAGGCUCAGGAAGACAACGAGUAGGGUCAAAAUGCUGUGUAUAAUAUGAUAGAAAUUAGUUUGAAUCCAGAUAAUGAUACAAUGGGAGAGGAAGUCUUUGAGAACAUUGACAUUGGGGCUGCUGUAAAGCUAAGGACAACGGGCUGAAGAUCCACGCUACCCGAACAUAGAGACCGAAAUACAUUGCUGAAAUCCUCUGAUCGCAGUGAUGGUGAACCGGGAUCAGAUCCAAAAGAAGAAGCAAAAAUCACAGAAUGCCGGAGUCGGGGUUUGUGUCGAUAUAUUAAAGAUUAGUUCGGAUGGUAGAUCCCCAUAAAGUAUAGCGAGGUGUUGAAAGCACAUCCAACUUAUCCGAAGAUGAGAAGAGAGAUUCUUGACAAAGCGUGUGCAGCUUUAAGAUCGUAACACAAUUGCAUUUAACGAUAUAGUUGUUGGUGGUGGUGGUGUUUUUUUUUAAUUUAUUUAUUUUUUUUAAUUAGAUAAACCCAAUGUUUGAAAACGGUCCUGUAUUAAAUAUGAAAUAUCUAAGUAAAAUAACAAAUCAUGUUGUUUAAAACAUAAAAAGGUGUCUGCAGUAUGUAUUUUAACGGUGCAUUUGAAGGUACAACUACAAUACACCUAAUUGAAAUGGAUGUUACAAAUAAAAGACUUGCACAAAUUAUUGAUAUAUGCUCUGUAAAGCUCCAUUCAUCUUUCUCUGUUACAGAUGCAUCUGUUGUAUUCUCAGAAUUUUCUAUUGAGGAGUGUUGCCAUCAAUUAUUAUUAUUUAUUCAACUGUUUUGCCAUGUAUAUAAAUCAUAUAAACACUGUUGGGCUGUAACAGCAAAUAAGUUGAUAAUGGAA